UACGUAGGGGGCAAGCGUUGUCCGGAUUUAUUGGGCGUAAAGAGCGUGUAGGCGGCCAGGUAGGUCAGCUGUGAAAACUCGAGGCUCAACCUCGAGACGUCGGUUGAAACCACCUGGCUAGAGUCCGGAAGGGGAGAGUGGAAUUCCUGGUGUAGCGGUGAAAUGCGCAGAUAUCAGGAAGAACACCCGUGGCGAAGGCGGCUCUCUGGGACGGUACUGACGCUGAGACGCGAAAGCGUGGGGAGCGAACAGG
rnacentral:rRNA from 1 species